AGUGAACGCUGGCGGUAGACCUAACACAUGCAAGUCGAACGGCAGCACAGUAAGAGCUUGCUCUUGCGGGUGGCGAGUGGCGGACGGGUGAGGAAUACAUCGGAAUCUACUUUUUCGUGGGGGAUAACGUAGGGAAACUUACGCUAAUACCGCAUACGACCUACGGGUGAAAGCAGGGGACCUUCGGACCUUGCGCGAUUGAAUGAGCCGAUGUCGGAUUAGCUAGUUGGCGGGGUAAAGGCCCACCAAGGCGACGAUCCGUAGCUGGUCUGAGAGGAUGAUCAGCCACACUGGAACUGAGACACGGUCCAGACUCCUACGGGAGGCAGCAGUGGGGAAUAUUGGACAAUGGGCGCAAGCCUGAUCCAGCCAUACCGCGUGGGUGAAGAAGGCCUUCGGGUUGUAAAGCCCUUUUGUUGGGAAAGAAAAGCAGCAGGUUAAUACCCCGCUGUUCUGACGGUACCCAAAGAAUAAGCACCGGCUAACUUCGUG
rnacentral:rRNA from 1 species